AAAAAGGAAAGAUUACACUUUGGGAAAAUUUCUUCACCAGGAAAGUUAAGAACUGACUGGAGACCAAAAAGGAUUGGGCAAUCUCUUUCUACAGAGUUCUGAAAGAAUAACCGAGACCUAUGUAUCCUAGAUAAGUGGAGUAAAGAGUAAAAAAUUGUCUUCUCCAAUGUACUUCUCAAUGGCUACAAAUCAGUAAUGUUUACUGAAGGCCC